AACGAGGACCUUGUUGCUGAGANGNUGAUCAAACUUGGUCAUUUAGAGGAAGUAAAAGUCGUAACAAGGUUUCCGUAGGUGAACCUGCGGAAGGAUCAUUAAUGAUUGCGAAUGGUCGCCCUCGGUGCUGGCUCGUAAGAGCAAGUGCACGUUGGUGGCUUUCAUCCAAUACCCCUGUGAACCUUUGGCCUCUUGCUGGCUCUGGCUGGCAGAGGAUUUUUAUACACACACUCGAAUGUAAUGAAAACUAUUGUCGUGCGCAAGCACUAAUGUACAACUUUCAACAACGGAUCUCUUGGCUCUCGCAUCGAUGAAGAACGCAGCGAAAUGCGAUAAGUAAUGUGAAUUGCAGAAUUCAGUGAAUCAUCGAAUCUUUGAACGCACCUUGCACCCUUUGGCAUUCCGAAGGGUAUGCUCGUUUGAGUGUCAUUGUACUCUCACACUCUCUGAUCCUUUGGGAUUCGGGGAGCGGUGGACUUGGGUGUUUGCUGCUUUCCUUGUGGCUCACCUCAAAUGCGUCAGUGCACCUCUUGGUUGGACAUAGUACGGCGUGAUAAGUGUCUUCGCCGGCACCUCGCAAGAGGGUGGUCAAUUGGGAGCUCUGUGCUUUCAAACCGUCUUCGGACAAUAUCUGACAACUUGACCUCAAAUCGAGUAGGACUACCCGCUGAACUUAAGCAUAUCAAUAAGCGGAGGAAAAGAAACUAACAAG
rnacentral:rRNA from 1 species